AGAGCCAAAGACACUGAUAACUGCCGAAAGCUUUCAGCACACAUGAAGCCAAGACAUCUGAGAAUGAAAAGCCCAAGAAUGUGCCAAGCAUGAAGAGUCCACCAAGAAUGAAGGGCUCAAGAAUCAUAAGAAAGCAGAUCUCUCUCAGUCCCCUUUACUAGACUUACUGCUGGGUUCCAUAUUCUGGAGACAAAUGAUGC
rnacentral:lncRNA from 1 species